ensembl:snoRNA
UGCCUUUGUGUUGCCCGUUCAUUCCUGUCCAGAAUGAAUGUGGUGUCAAAAAAGGCAAACAGGAAUUCUUGCUCAAACUGUUGUAAGGAGCUGGUUAUUUACCUUUCUCCUCCCUGUUUUUGCAAGGACAAAA